AAGGAGAAACGCCAGGCGUCUGGCCUGAAGUGCGUUUCUGGGCGCGUGGAAACGCCCAGGAGCGCCGGGAGGCAGCGGCGAUGGCGGAGCCUGGGACUGCCAGGCGCGCCGGGCAGGAAAAGACCGAUUCCAGCCAGGACAACUGCACCAGGCUGUCUGGGCAACUUUUCUAGUCAAACCUAACGACGCAAAGCAACAAUGGAGGCAAUUGCUGUUUUACAAAUAAAAAGAUCAUCCC
ensembl:misc_RNA